rnacentral:rRNA from 1 species
GAUGAACGCUGGCGGCAUGCCUAACACAUGCAAGUCGAACGACAGCAUAAUGAGCGCUUGCUCUUACGGGUGGCGGGGGGCGGACGGGUGACACAUGCAUCGGCUUCUUCUUUUUCGUGGGUGAUAACGGCGGGAAACUUCUGCUAACCCCGCAUAUAUCGUACGGGUGGGUGCAAGAGUUCUUCAGGCUUUUCGCGACUGUAUGAGCCGAUUCCGGAUUAGCUAGUUGGCUGGGUAAAGGCGCACCAAGGCAACGAUCCGUAGCGGAGCUGAGAGGGUGAUCAGCCACACUGGAACUGAGACACGGUCCAGACUCCUACGGGAGGCAGCAGUGGGGAAUAUUGCGCAAUGGGCGAAAGCCUGAUCCAGCCACACCGCGUGAGUGAUGAAGGCCUUCGGAUCGUAAAGCCCUGUUGUUGGGAAAGAACAAAAGCAUGUGUAUCCCCGCCUGUUCUGACGGUACCCAAAGAAUAAGCACCGGCUAACUUCGUG